rnacentral:misc_RNA from 1 species
GUUCUAUAGUUCGGCUUCUAUGCAGAAUAUCCAGAAUCCACGUGCUGAUACAUGUAUUUAAUUCUCAGCCUGCAAGUGAUUGAAUGUUCUUGGGGAUACUGCUUUAGCUGAAGCGAUGGGCAUUCUUUAUGGAGUCCAGUGUGCGGCCAUGCUAAAUUGUACAGCUAUUGCUGAUGCGCAGGGAAGGAUCUUGUCUCAAUCGAUGUGUGACCUGACCAAGUAUAUCCCGGAUCCAAAGAACCAGAAGAAAAAAAUGAUGUCAAUAAUGUGAUCGAUGCUGAGCCCUCAGCGGCAUUUUGCAGCCCCUGCAUACUGUAUUGGAGGAUAUUGUUGAUCUAAGA